rnacentral:rRNA from 1 species
ACAUGCAAGUCGAACGAACCUUCGGGUUAGUGGCGGACGGGUGAGUAACGCGUGAGAAUCUGCCCUCAGGAGGGGGACAACAGCUGGAAACGGCUGCUAAUACCCCAUAUGCCGCGAGGUGAAAUGAAUUUCGCCUGAGGAUGAGCUCGCGUCUGAUUAGCUAGUUGGUGUAGGUAAUGGCUCACCAAGGCAUCGAUCAGUAGCUGGUCUGAGAGGAUGAUCAGCCACACUGGGACUGAGACACGGCCCAGACUCCUACGGGAGGCAGCAGUGGGGAAUUUUCCGCAAUGGGCGAAAGCCUGACGGAGCAACGCCGCGUGAGGGAUGAAGGCCUCUGGGCUGUAAACCUCUUUUAUCAAGGAAGAAGAUCUGACGGUACUUGAUGAAUAAGCCACGGCUAAUUCCGUGCCAGCAGCCGCGGUAAUACGGGAGUGGCAAGCGUUAUCCGGAAUUAUUGGGCGUAAAGCGUCCGCAGGCGGCCCUUCAAAUCUGCUGUUAAAAAGUGGAGCUUAACUCCAUCAUGGCAGUGGAAACUGUUGGGCUUGAGUGUGGUAGGGGCAGAGGGAAUUCCCGGUGUAGCGGUGAAAUGCGUAGAUAUCGGGAAGAACACCAGUGGCGAAGGCGCUCUGCUGGGCCAUCACUGACGCUCAUGGACGAAAGCCAGGGGAGCGAAAGGGAUUAGAUACCCCUGUAGUCCUGGCCGUAAACGAUGAACACUAGGUGUCGGGGGAAUCGACCCCCUCGGUGUCGUAGCCAACGCGUUAAGUGUUCCGCCUGGGGAGUACGCACGCAAGUGUGAAACUCAAAGGAAUUGACGGGGGCCCGCACAAGCGGUGGAGUAUGUGGUUUAAUUCGAUGCAACGCGAAGACCUUACCAGGGUUUGACAUCUUGCGAAUCUCUUGAAAACAGGAGAGUGCCUUCGGGAACCGCAUGGACAGGUGGUGCAUGCCUGUCGUCAGCUCGUGUCGUGAAAUGUUGGGUUAAGUCCCGCAACGAGCGCCACCCACGUUCUUUAGUGCCACGAUUUAGU